UACAAUAUUUUGACUCUUCAUCUUAUUUUAAUUUUUUAUGACUAAUAUUUUUAUUGUUAGUAGAUGAUAAAAUAUAAAUAGUACUUUAUGCGUGACUAAUUUAAGUUUUGACAAAUUUUUCAAAUAAGAUGAAUGGUCAAACGUUGGACACGGAAAAAC
rnacentral:pre_miRNA from 1 species